UUUAGCAGAUAGUAAACGAAAUUAAGGCAGAAAGUACUUAUGGAUAUCGAGAGGAAUAAAAGAGGGCGCAAUAGUGUGGAGUUUAUGAAGUCGACGAGAAACAAGUAUCAAUAGUGAUGAAAUAGUCGAUGGCAACAAGAGGACGAGGGAAGAUGUAAACGGAUACGAACGACAGAAACAGCGAUAGUUAGAACGUGAGAUGUUGCGCUUGAUACUAAAAGACAAUAUUAAAUAUUUAUAGUAUUCAGCUUUUACGUCAAAUAUUCGUAUUAGAAUAAUGCUUAGUGAAAUAAACAGUUACCGCACGUAUCGAUCCAAUAUUCGUUUAUUCUUCUACGGAGCAAAACCUGUUUUUUUUGUAACGUGAAAAAAGAAAUAGAUAAUUAUGGUCGUGUUAUUUCAUAGAGGUGAAUUAGCGGAAAUGUGGUUCUAAAAUAUAUGUAAAAUAUGUAAAAUUGGCCUGGAAAUAUGGCGGAUACGAGGUUAACUAUUUGGAAAACUUUAAAAUAGAAGAUAACUUAUUCUUAUUGAAAGAAUUUGCUAUCUGUGAUAUAGAUAAUCGGACAGAUAAUCGGAUAGCGAAUUAUUUUUUUCUAUCACCAUUCAACGAAGACUAAUUAUUACGAAAGAUAUUUAUUACGAAUAGGAGUAAGAUGGUUAACAAAUAACCAUCAUGGCUUGGAAUGGAACGACUGAUUCGUUAAUUAUAACUUAAGAUAUAAGAUUUUUGAACAAUAUUUCUUAUCCUCUUUCAUUACUUUGAAAUGAUAUUUUCAAUAUAUAUAUGAAGGCUAUUGAAAAUAAGUGAAAAAUAAAUAAAUAUAUUGAACAUAGAACGUAAAAUGCAAUAUCUAAUUUUUAUUGAACUGGAUAUUUCUAAAACUGGAUUUCUACUGAUUUCUGCUAAUGAGUAUCCAAAAUGUUUUCUACACAAAAGCAAGAAAUCUUGUGCUUCAAAAAUCGUGUAAAUAUUAAAAAAAAGAUUAAUAAUUUAUUUUAAAGUAAUUAAUAUAUUAAAUUAAAAAAAAA